AGAGUUUGAUCAUGGCUCAGGACGAACGCUGGCGGCGUGCCUAAUACAUGCAAGUCGAGCGGAUCGAUGGGAGCUUGCUCCCUGAGAUCAGCGGCGGACGGGUGAGUAACACGUGGGUAACCUGCCUGUAAGACUGGGAUAACUCCGGGAAACCGGGGCUAAUACCGGAUAACACCUACCCCCGCAUGGGGUAAGGUUGAAAGGUGGCUUCGGCUAUCACUUACAGAAGGACCCGCGGCGCAUUAGCUAGUUGGUGAGGUAAUGGCUCACCAAGGCGACGAUGCGUAGCCGACCUGAGAGGGUGAUCGGCCACACUGGGACUGAGACACGGCCCAGACUCCUACGGGAGGCAGCAGUAGGGAAUCUUCCGCAAUGGACGAAAGUCUGACGGAGCAACGCCGCGUGAGUGAAGAAGGUUUUCGGAUCGUAAAACUCUGUUGUUAGGGAAGAACAAGUGCCGUUCGAAUAGGGCGGCGCCUUGACGGUACCUAACCAGAAAGCCACGGCUAACUACGUGCCAGCAGCCGCGGUAAUACGUAGGUGGCAAGCGUUGUCCGGAAUUAUUGGGCGUAAAGCGCGCGCAGGUGGUUUCUUAAGUCUGAUGUGAAAGCCCACGGCUCAACCGUGGAGGGUCAUUGGAAAC
rnacentral:rRNA from 1 species